CUAUUUAUACUCUAGAGCUUUUCUUUUCUAACUUUCUUUGUCCCUAGGGGUUUCUUUUCUUUAAGCACUCUUUUUGGUUCAUUUCUUUCACUCAAUCUCUCUCAUUCCCAAGAUCAAAAGAAUUUAAGCUCACAAACCCAAAAACCAUCCUAGAGGCUAGCUUAAAUGAAGUCCUAAUGCUAGCCAAAGAUGAGAACAACCCCAUUGUCGC
rnacentral:lncRNA from 1 species